CCUACGGGUGGCAGCAGUGAGGAAUAUUGGUCAAUGGACGAGAGUCUGAACCAGCCAAGCAGCGUGAAGGAUGACUGCCCUCUGGGUUGUAAACUUCUUUUAUAUGGGAAUAAAACGUUCCACUUGUGGGAUUUUGUAUGUACCAUAUGAAUAAGGAACGGCUAACUCCGUUCCAGCAGCCGCGGUAAUACGGAGGAUCCGAGCGUUAUCCGGAUUUAUUGGGUUUAAAGGGACCGUAGGUGGAUUGUUAAGUCAGUUGGGAAAGUUUGCGGCUCAACCGGAAAAUUGCAGUUGAAACUGGCAGUCUUGAGUACAGUAGAGGUGGGCGGAAUUCGUGGUGUAGCGGUGAAAUGCGUAGAUAUCACGAAGAACUCCGAUUGCGAAGGCAGUUCACUGGACUGCAACUGACACUGAGGCUCGAAAGUGUGGGGAUCAAACAGGAUUAGAUACCCUAGUAGUC
rnacentral:rRNA from 1 species